rnacentral:pre_miRNA from 1 species
GUACUACUCCCUCCGUCCGAAAAUACUUGUCAUCAAAAUGGAUAAAAAAGAUGUAUCUAGAACUAAUAUACAUCUAGAUACAUCCCCUUUUAUUCAUUUUGAUGACAAGUGUUUCCGGACGGAGGGAGUACUAU